rnacentral:rRNA from 1 species
CCUACGGGAGGCUGCAGUGGGGAAUAUUGCACAAUGGGGGAAACCCUGAUGCAGCGACGCCGCGUGAGUGAAGAAGUAAUUCGUUACGUAAAGCUCUAUCAGCAGGGAAGAAAAUGACGGUACCUGUGUAAGAAGCCCCGGCUAACUACGUGCCAGCAGCCGCGGUAAUACGUAGGGGGCAAGCGUUAUCCGGAUUUACGGGGUGUAAAGGGAGCGUAGACGGUGCGACAAGUCUGGAGUGAAAUGCAGCAGCUUAACUGCGGAAGUGCUUUGGAUACUGGCGAACUAGAGUGCGGGUGGGGUAAGCGGAAUUCGUGGUGUAGCGGUGAAAUGCGUAGAUAUUAGGAGGAACACCGGUGGCGAAGGCGGCUUACUGAACCGUAACUGACGUUGAGGCUCGAAAGCGUGGGGAGCAAACAGGAGUAGAUACCCGUGUAGUC